rnacentral:rRNA from 1 species
AUUCCAGCUCCAAUAACGUAUAUUAAAGUUGUUGCGGUUAAAAAGCUCGUAGUUGGAUUUCUGUCGAAAGUGGCCGGUCCCCACUCUGUGGGCGUAUCUGGUUCGCUUUUGGCAUCCUCCUGUGACUCGCUCUGUCCUUCACUGGAUGGAGCGGAACGCAGGACUUUUACUUUGAGGAAAUUCGAGUGUUCACAGCAGGCAAUCGCCCUGAAGAUAUAGCAUGGAAUAAUAAUAUAGGACUUUGGUUUUAUUUUGUUGGUUUCUAAGGCCGAAGUAAUGAUUAAUAGGGAUAUUUGGGGGCAUUCGUAUUAAGCGGUCAGAGGUGGAAUUCUUGGAUUCGCUUACGACGAACUACUGCGAAAGCAUUAGUCAAGAAUGUUUUCAUCA